GAUCUGAUUCACGAAAGAAACCUAAUACAGAGCAGAGAAAUCAAACAAGAUCAAUGAGAAGUAGUAUAAACACACAUAACAAACUCGAAUCAAUUAAAAAUUGGAAUCUAGAUUCAAUAACCAGAUCUAUAAAUCAACACUUCUCUCAAACAAAAAUCGACACUUGGUUCAAAUUCUACAGAAAUGCAGGAAUCUUGAGAAAGUAUGAAUCGAAGAAAAGUGAACAUACCUUAAAAGGAGAUUAGUAAUG
rnacentral:lncRNA from 1 species